rnacentral:rRNA from 1 species
AACGCUGGCGGCGUGCUUAACACAUAGCAAGUCGAACGAAGCUCCCAAACUUGCGUUUCGGACAGAGAGAGGGAUGACUUAGUGGCGGACGGGUGAGUAAUGCGUGAGCAACCUGCCCUUCAGAGGGGGACAACAGUUGGAAACGACUGCUAAUACCGCAUAAUGUAUUCGGAAGGCAUCUUCUGAAUACCAAAGAUUUAUCGCUGAAGGAUGGGCUCACGUCUGAUUAGCUAGUUGGUGAGGUAAUGGCUCACCAAGGCUGCGAUCAGUAGCCGGACUGAGAGGUUGACCGGCCACAUUGGGACUGAGAUACGGCCCAGACUCCUACGGGAGGCAGCAGUGGGGAAUAUUGGGCAAUGGGCGCAAAAGCCUGACCCAGCAACGCCGCGUGAAGGAAGAAGGCUUUCGGGUUGUAAACUUCUUUUGGCAGGGACGAAGAAAGUGACGGUACCUGCAGAAUAAGCUCCGGCUAACUACGUGCCAGCCGCGGC